rnacentral:tRNA from 1 species
GGGUAUAGUUUAGUGGUAGAACAUCGGUCUCCAAAACCGAAUGUGAGGGUUCGAUUCCUUCUACCC